AGGAGCUGGGGGAGGAGCCACCGUGACUCGGGCCCCGCCCACUCGGGGCCGGCUCCAGGGCGGGUCCGGGUCGCUGGGGGAGGAGAGCACCCGCCCCUCCCGACCCCCCAUCCCCUACUAACCCAGCUUGAUCCAGCUCAGCCCCGGGGUGUUUGCAGCAGCUCGUUCCGUAAGUCCAGCCAUCUGUUACCUGCGCUGCUUUCUGGGGACAGAGAGUCCCCGUCGGGCCGGCCCGGAGACCCGGGGAGUAUGCUCCCGGGAGUCUGCGGGAUGCUGUGAGCCCCUGGCAAUGGCUGCCUCCCGGGGAACCUCCACACGCCGACAGAUGGCACCCGCGUGAGGCGGAGCGACGGGUCUUCUUGCCCCCCGGGCUGGAAGAGGAAGAGCGGCCGUUGUGCCGGGGAGGGCCGGACAUGUCGGAGGCAUCGUCCUGCCCUGGCAGCGAGACCCCUGCCCCAGGCUGCAGGCUGGGGGCCUUGUACUGGGCCUGUGUCCGCAAUGAUCCUGUCCAGCUCCAAGCCGCAUUGGAUGGUGGGGUCUCCCCGGAGGAGGCCGUCCAGGUGGAUGGCAAUGGGAGGACAGGUCUUAUGGUCGCCUGCUACCGCGGUUUUGAGAAUGUUGUGGCCUUGCUCAGCCGCUGCCCUUUCCUCGAUGUGAACCAGCAGGAUAAGGAAGGGGACACAGCCCUCAUGCUGGCUGCCCAAGCAGGUCAUGUGCCUCUGGUGAGUCUCCUGCUCAACUACUACCCAGGCCUGGACCUGGAGCGCCGGGACCAGCGGGGGCUAACGGCACUGAUGAAGGCCGCCAUUCGGAACCGUUCAGAAUGUGUGGCGGCCCUCCUCCUGGCAGGUGCUGAGCUGACAGCGGUGGAUCCUGUCCGGGGCAAGACGGCCCUAGAGUGGGCAGUGCUGACUGACAGCUUCGACACCGUGCAAAGGAUCCGGAAGCUGCUGCGGCGCCCCCAGAUAGAGCAGCUCAGCCAGCAUUACCAGCCCGAGUGGCCAGCCCUGCCUGGGCUCGUGGCCCAGGCCCAGGCCCAGGCCCAGGCUGCCCCAUCUCUUCUAGAGCGACUCCAGGCCACCUUGCGCCUCCCCUUUGCCCAGUUUCCUCAGGAGGGGGGUGUCCUGGACCACCUUGUGACCAUCACGACCAGCCUGGCCAGUCCCUUCCUCACCACUGCCUGCCACACCCUGUGCCCUGAGCACCCACCUGCACUGGGCACCCGAAGCAAGUCUGUGCCAGAGCUGCUAGGCACUGCCCCUCCCCCGCCCCCAGAUCCCCAGCCCCCCCAGGUAGCCUCUGGCCCCCGGGCCCUCAUCCCCUACCAGAGCCCUCAGGGCGUGUUGAGUAUGUGCCCUCAGUGGCUACAGCCCAGGGACGAUAGCAGCCCCAGGCCCCAAGCCCCCAAGAUCCGCCUGUCCAAGGCACCCUCAUCGCCCAGACAGCACAAGCCAGAGUCCAGGCCUGGAGAGAAUCGAAGGUUGGCCCUUCCUAUCUGGAGAUAUCAGGAGCUCAGGAUGGAGAGGAGGAAGCAGGAGGAGGAGGCCAGGCAGGCACAAAGUCAGGGAAAGAUGGGCUAGGCCAGGCUGGGAGCAGGUGAUCAGGUCCCUCCCUAAGGCUCCUUUGCCCUCUGGAGCCCCUUCUGCUCUCCCAUCCAGAUCUGUACAAAUGAUUCUACUCUAAUCUACUUAGGAGGUUGUCCACACAGCGCUAUUUGCGAUACUAAGAGUGGAAACAACCUAAGUGUCCAUCAGCAGGGGGCUAGCUAAAUUGCUUAUGGCUGUGAUAAGUAUACAUCCAUAUGAUGUAUUUUAUACAGUGGUAAAACGAGUAAGGAAGCUCUUUACGUUCUGAUAUGAAACUAUCUCUAAGAGGUAUUAAGUGAAAGUCAUCAAGGGGUGGAACAGCAUUUAUGGCAUGCUACUACUCAUCCAUGUAAAAUCUGCACCAAGAUAAACUUGACCAAUACAAAUAUAUAGGGAGUACCAAGAUAUAUUUAAGUACUUGAUGAAUGAAGGAUCAAAGGAGGAAACGAAAAACCAUUACUGACAGUGGAAAUACGAAUCCCGGAAUGAGAUUGAAAAGUUAGGUACAAAAAAGUUAAUUCUUACCCGGCAAUAACACCAUAACUUUUUUUUUUUCUGCCAGACAAAAAUAAAUUGCUACUUA